UCCAGACUCCUACGGGAGGCAGCAGUGGGGAAUAUUGGGCAAUGGGCGCAAGCCUGACCCAGCAACGCCGCGUGAAGGAAGGAGUACUUCGGUACGUAAAGCCCUAUCAGCAGGAAAGAAAAUGACGGUACCUGACUAAGAAGCCCCGGCUAACUACGUGCCAGCAGCCGCGGUAAUACGUAGGGGGCAAGCGUUAUCCGGAUUUACUGGGUGUAAAGGGAGCGUAGACGGCAGUGCAAGUCCGGAGUGAAAGCCCGGGGCUCAACCCUGGGACUGCUCUGGAAACUGUAAAGCUGGAGUGCGGGAGGGGCAGGCGGAAUUCCUGGUGUAGCGGUGAAAUGCGUAGAUAUCAGGAGGAACACCGGCGGCGAAGGCGGCCUGCUGGACCGUAACUGACGUUGAGGCUCGAAAGCGUGGGGAGCAAACAGGAUUAGAUACCCCGGUAGC
rnacentral:rRNA from 1 species